CUGUGGUACAAUGGAGCAGCACAUCUGGCUGUUAACCAGAGAGUUGGUGGUUUGAGCCCACCCAAGGA